UCAAGAUGGCGGCGCAAGGUGGUCGCGUGUUGGUUUAUGGUGGAAGAGGUGCACUCGGUUCUGCGAUUGUGAAACAUUUCAAAGCUCAAAACUAUUGGGUAGGUUCCAUUGAUCUUCACCCAAAUGAAGAUGCAGAUGCCAACAUCAUUGUGAAGCCAGUUGAAUCUUGGACAGCACAGGAAGAGGAAGUUGUAAAGAGCGUCGAUGGAGUCCUGGGGGAGAAUAAGGUGGAUGCCAUCUUGUGUGUUGCCGGGGGAUGGGCUGGUGGCAAUGCAGCCUCUAAAGAUCUGGUGAAGAAUGCAGACAUGAUGUGGAAGCAGAGCGUAUGGACGUCUGUGCUCUCCUCAAGUCUUGCAGCCAAGUACCUCAAGGAGGGAGGUGUCCUCACCCUGCCAGGAGCGCAGCCAGCCCUAGAGGGAACUGCAGGUAUGAUUGGGUAUGGUCUGGCCAAGGCUGCUAUCCAUCAGCUGGUGAAGAGUCUAGCUGCUGACAACAGUGGGAUGCCUGCAAACAGCCUCUCGGCUGCCAUACUGCCUGUGACCCUUGACACACCCAUGAACAGGAAGUUUAUGUCCAAUGCAGACUUCAGCACCUGGACCCCGCUUGAGUUUGUUGCUGAACUGUUCUACAAGUGGACUGUUGGGCAAGAACGACCCACCAAUGGAAGCUUGGUGCAGCUGAUCACAAAGGACAGCAAGACUGACCUGGUCAUAGCUUAACCCAAGCCCAGCUGGAGGCACCCUGUCAAGUCCAUGUGCAGUGCAGUGCAUGUGAGGCACUUGUGAAGGUCCUCGAGUUGUUAUGUAGAAAAGAAGGGAUGUAGACCCCUCACCAUGUAUGUUGUCCUCAUAAUGUUGUGAAGGAAGUGUUCAGGGAUUAAAUGUAAAUCAAAUGUCUAGAGUUCUUUGUCAUCGGGAAAAUAGAGACACGCUUUUAUUUUGUAUCUGUCUUUCAUUGCUUAAAGUUUUUACUGAGCAUUGAUUUUUGUAUUUUACAAAAGAUAUUUUGAUAGUGAUGUAUGAAUUUUAUGAGGCAUUUCUUUUACAUACAAAUCAUGACAUUCCAGAAGGUAAUGCUCUACAAUAUAUGAUUUUCCUUUAGCUGAAAAGCAGAAAUUGUCUUUUGACGAAUAUUUAUAGAGGACUGGUGAAGAUUGUGGACAUUAAUCAACCUAUUUAUAUCUAGUCAGGUACAGGGUUACUGCAUUGAUUUUCUGGAGGCGUUUUGUUGAUCUUUUCUUUGUUUCUAUGCAUGACAUUACAAUGACAGUGAUGCACUGGGCAAUGUGCUCAAUGUGCAGUCAGUAUUGUUAAUAUUCUUUUGGUUCAUUCAGCACAGAGAAUAAUAUCACAUGUAUGAGGAUUUUGAUCUGCAUAAAAUAAGGUCAAAAGACACGUUGUUAACAUACAUGCCAGUUAAUAAUCAGUGUUGAAUUGUUUUUGAUCUCCAAGACUCUUACAAGGGUAAUUACUGUUCAGCUAUUUAAACAGCCUGGUGCAAGUAAAGUCUAUGUCAGUGCAAUGCUAUAUUCUCUAGAAGGGCUAGCUGGGUUGUGGGUCAGUGAAGGCACUCAGUUGUCAUGCUGAACACCCCCAAGGGGACAAUGUGUGAAGCCCAUCUCUCUUGUCCCAGGUGUUGCUGUGGUAAUGCUAGAAGUGGCGUAACACCCAACUCAGUCACUCACUCAUCCUUAACUGUCUUUACCGAUUUGUGUGUAUACCCUACUUGCUGUAUACCACAGGAUCUUCUAGUCAUGGAGUCCUUGAAGACAGGACUAUGUUUGAUUUUGAUAUUGUCAUUAGCUACAGGUAUGCCAUGUACGAUAGUGUCAAUAGCUACAGGUAUGCCAUGUUCGAUAUUGUCAAUAGCUACAGAUAUGCUAUGUACGAUAUUGUCAAUAGCUACCGGUACGCCAUGUACGAUAGUGUCAAUAGCUACAGGUAUGCCAUGUUUCGAUAUUGUCAAUAGCUACAGGUAUGCCAUGUUUCGAUAUUGUCAAUAGCUACAGGUAUGCCAUGUUCGAUAUUGUCAAUAGCUACAGGUAUGCCAUGUACUUCCAGUAUUGUUCUGUGGCUGGGGCACAUUGUGGCUGCAUAACCCCCAUGUGUUCAUUCAAUGGCAGCUUCACUCAAAUUUUAUUUUGUUAUCUGUCUACCUUACUUGUUGUUAGAAGGUGCUUUUGGUUUUUUUUAUUAUGAACUGCUUUGUUACUGCAUUUAAUGAAAUAAUCAUAUCGACUGCUUUGCAAGGGAUACUGGUGGAAAUUUGUAUGAUUUAUGACAACUGUUAGGUCCAAGAAACGAAAAACUUGUGAUAUAUUACCAUCUGGCCUUUUACACUGCUUGUCACAAUACAAGGAAUAUUCUGUGUGAACUAUUCAUUUGUAGCUUUUGAUUAAGGACUUUGUUACCAAAGAAUGUUGAUGUCUCUUAUAUUAGGACCUUUUUAUUGUGUUAAGCUGUAAUGCAAAUUGGUAUUGUCAACUAUUGUGAUAGUAUUACAGGUUCUUAGAAAUACGUAGUAGUUUUUGGUCUGUUACCCGAGUUAGAAAUGCUCAAAAAUCUAAGGACCCAUCCAAGGUAUAUCACCACUUAUUUAUUGGACAAUUUAAUCAGAUAUCGGAACAUAUAUAUGUUAUUACACGGCACAUGUGCAUACACUGUCACACGUUGCCAUGUGAUCAUUGAUCUGCUCAUCCAGACAUUUGUAGCUGAAGAAUUGACAAUGCUAGUGUUAUUUUUUUGGAAGGUUUAAAUUAUAAGGGUUUGAUUGGAAGAUAAUUAACUUGCAUAAUACACUAUAACAGUAUCACAAUAGCAUAUCACUUUGUUAACCGUUCUUCCAGGGGACAGACAGUGCGAGACACCCAGCGAGCACAUUGUGGCUUGUUCUACAAGUGUGCGAUCUUUGUGAUCCACAGCAAUAAAUUAUCUGUAUAUCAUGCCA
rnacentral:misc_RNA from 1 species